CUGUUUGACACGAUGGUGUUUGGUCGUAGGCUGGACUCAGUGAUCUCAGAGGUCUUUUCCAACCUAAUUGCUUCUCUGGUUUUAUGAAAAUAGGCUUGCUACGUACUGCCUAGAGAGGCUGCAGGGUUUUUUUUUAUCUCUAGAGCAUCUCAAGAGGCCUGUAAAAAGCAUUACAAAUAAAUGUCAUACUUUGCAAAAUAUUGCUGUUUCCUCAAGGAGGAGGCCAUCCUUUUCUAUAAGAAACAAAGUUGGAAGCUUCUUCAUGGUAAAUGUUAUAACCAGAAAAGGCUAAUGCUUUUGUGAACAUAAGGAGAUUUGCAGCAACGCUGCCUAGGAAUAGGACACAAAAAACAGAGAAAUUGAAAAUGGGCCCGGUCCUCUGUCUAUAACCUUGAAGCAAGUUCCUUACGUUAGUUAUUUUGUGUACAAAACUGUGUAUCAAAGGGUUAUUCACAGCUUGUCACAUCUGACAUAAAAUGCUGGCCCUUCAGUACCUCAUUACAGGAAAGCAACUUUAGGACUGUAGUUCCAAAUGCCUUGGCUCUGUGAAUUGUAGACAAUUUAACUUUGAAUGCUAGUUUACUUUCUUAAAGGCCCACCCCUUGCCUGAAGCAACAACAUUUUUAGGUUAAUGGGUCAACUGAAGAUGCGUCUGAACUAAGAAAUGCUGUCUCAGCUUUGUUUCUGACAGACAUCAUCUACAUCUCUACAUCUGUAGGAUGUGACUUCCCACAAUGGAUCAUCCGUGCCCUAAAGAUACCCAGCAGGCUGUAAACACCCUCAUUUUACUAAAGAGCUUUACAAUGUGAUACCUUAUUAUAAUUUUUGAUGUGGCAACAGAAGCCACUUUUUAAUAGAGUUCCCUGGCAUUUCUCAUUAUCAAGUUCAGUUUUCCUUUCUUCUAUCUUAUUUCAUUAAAACCUCAUGAUUUCCAUGCUGAAAUUCUUCCAUGCUGAACAUCUGCCUUGGCGUAAUGAGGUGUGUAAACUGUACUUUGGCCAAAAAAUUAUUCUUUGUUGGCUUCACCCUCUGAUAUUUUUCCACUUUAAGGUUUUCAGAGAUGACUAAAUACAGGCAGCCUGGACUUCUUUUUUUCUUUAGGUGGAAUGGAUCAGAUGGAAACCAGGUUGAGAAGGAGCAAUGGAAUAACUAAAUGGGUUCUUGAGAGUCCUACAAGAUGCCAGGGCAUAGCCAAACAGAUAAGUACUCUCUGUAGUCAUGUACGACCAAAAAGGUACAGUCCCACUAUUAACUUUUACUGCAUUAAAUUGGACUAAAUGUGAGAUAUUGCCACGUUUUUCUUUGUUCACCAUGAGCUGCCUGGCCCCGCUGCCUCUGAUCUGCCAAGUGUUAGCACCUGAAAGACUAUGUACGGAACCAGCUCUGGAGACUGAUGUGGCAGAAAACUAACUUGUCAAAAAAUAAAAGAUAAAAGUUUUCAGGGUACUCCAUAGCUGCCUGAAGACCGGUACUCACUCAUAGGAGGUGACAGGUGUGUGAUUCAAAAGGAAAGCAGCAGCACAAGGCUGCAGUCAAUGUCAUUGCUAAGUUUUUAAUCCAGAAGAAGGGAGCCUUCCUUCCAGCCAGCAAAAAGAAGGAGGCAGAUGGGGGUCACUAUUCCCAUCAGAAAGCAGAGGCAUCCUCUGGAGGACACUCAUACUUAACUUCACUUGGACUGAGUCAUCUUCUUAAAUGCUGAUUUUUAAAGAACAGAGCUCACAUUUGGAUGAUUUGCAGGGCUGCAGUCAGGUGUGUUGUCUUGCCUCAGGAGGAAAAGGAUCUUGGAUUGAACUCCUUAGGGAACUAGUGAAUUCCUAAUGUUCUCACUCCUCUCAUGUAAUAUUCAGAGGAUUAAAUGCCAAUACCAUU